rnacentral:rRNA from 1 species
AUGGCUGUCGUCAGCUCGUGUUGUGAAAUGUUGGGUUAAGUCCCGCAACGAGCGCAACCCUUAUCCUUUGUUGCCAGCGGUUCGGCCGGGAACUCAAAGGAGACUGCCAGUGAUAAACUGGAGGAAGGUGGGGAUGACGUCAAGUCAUCAUGGCCCUUACGAGUAGGGCUAC